CGACUUUAACAUGAUCUGCACCCGCGUGCGCACCCCUCUUCAUUUACUUUACUUGCGUGUUAGACAGUUCACAUACACAACUAGAUCACCUCUGUUAAAUGUUUGUUUGCUCACUCUUUUCAAUAAGAGAUUUAAUCUAUUAAAGUGAAAAGGCAUGAUUUUUUUUUCUUCAAAUACAAUUACACUGGUACCUAGUUCCAAGAAUUAUUUUAUCGCAAAUGGAUAUCGAGCCAAACUUCCGGAAAUUUUAGUUAAUAAUUGCUUAACUUGUGAUGAAGGAAUAAAAAGGGAAGCCCAAGAGGAAUUGCAGAUUUUAAGACAAUAUUUUUUUACAGAUUUUAAGUUCUUAUUAGAAAAAAAUACUAUUCCAAUAGUUGUGAACUGUCUUCUUAAUGCUGGUCCUUGUGAUAGUAGAUUAAUACUCUUUAAAAGAGAAGGAGCUCUAUUUUUCGCAAGAAAUCAACUUCUCGACUAGACUAUAGGAGAAUAUAAGGGCCUUGCAUAAACGCGAAAUGGAUUUAUUGGGAUUUUUUUACGUAUGAGUAGACAUAUUAGUUUAAGAGUAAAUUACCAUUUUUCUUGAAAAGUAAUGAAUGCCCUGAUUGUACAGACGACUUUAUUAACAAAAUGAAAAAACGAAUUGAUUAUCUCAAAAAAUUUCAUCCGCAAAAAUGGCAACAAAUUGAACAGAUGUUUUGGGUAUAAUACUCGAUCCCUAUUCGAUAAUUUACCUGCCAACGUUGUUACAAAGGGCGGAGCAACAGAAUAUAUAAAGACGAGCAGAUUUUAUUUUUUACCAGUCGUAGACGAAUUGUUUGACUACUAGUCACAAAUUUAAUAAGUUUGCUUCUGAUUUAAUAAGUUUGAUUCGUUAAUAAUCAUAUCAAUAUGAAAACUCAAAUUAUUUUCUUGUGCGUUUUGGGAGUUAUUGCUUUAGUAUCAUGCGCUCCACAUGGAUCAUUCGAUAACCAACCGAAAAUUACUCCCGAAGAAAUUAUGAACGUGGAAAGUCAGUUGCCAUGUGUCCUCCAGCAGCCUGGAGCAGUCUGCUCUGCUAUCGGAGAGAGGGCAAAAAGUGAGUAUAUUUUAAUUAACUGAAA